UACGUAGGGUGCGAGCGUUAAUCGGAAUUACUGGGCGUAAAGCGUGCGCAGGCGGUUCGUUGUGUCGGCGGUGAAAGCCCCGGGCUCAACCUGGGAAUGGCCGUUGAAACUGGCGAACUGGAGUGUGGCAGAGGGGGGUGGAAUUCCGCGUGUAGCAGUGAAAUGCGUAGAGAUGCGGAGGAACACCGAUGGCGAAGGCAGCCCCCUGGGCUGACACUGACGCUGAGGCAUGAAAGCGUGGGGAGCAAACAGG
rnacentral:rRNA from 1 species